rnacentral:tRNA from 1 species
AGGCUUGUAGCUCAGGUGGGGUUAGGCGCACCCCUGAUAUAGGGUGAGGUCGGUGGUUCAAGUCCACCUCAGGCUA